GUUGAAUACCUUGAAUUUCAAGUGAAAAAUGUAGUGCAUGUUUCUAUUGCAAAUAUACAACACGCAGCUGUCAUCAUCUAUAAGGGGUCUAUUACCCAAUGCUGUAAAUUUGAAACAUUGCUGGAUAACUUUAUGGACGAUUUUGGUGAUGACAAUCCUUGCACUGAUGAAGUAAGCAAGUUUGCUCUCAAUUAUAUUGAAGGCAAUACUGACGGAAAAAGAAAACAUUCCGAUGGAGACCAAUCUUCAGAUUCAGAGAAUAUUGCAACGGUCUCAGAACAUGGCCUAAACGGACCUAAAUACG